rnacentral:lncRNA from 1 species
AAAGAAAGGUGUGCUCAGGUCCUGCCUUUCAAAACUACUAAGGAUGCAUUUGUUUCAUUUCUGAUUCUUUUUGGUUUCCACAGUGUCCUUUCUGCCUCUGGGUUCCUCUGUCAGAACGUGAAGCACAAAUGCAUGCAGGCUGUGAGCUAGCUCUUUUGCUUUGGGUAACCUCAGGGCGAAAAGCAGUGCCUGACUAAGCUGAAAAUGAAGAAGAAGAAGAAAAAAGCAAGGGUUCUAUUUAAAGGCAUCCUGACAUGCUGCUCUUCCUUGCUGAGGAAUGAGAUGAGUUACUGGCAUUUGAAAAACAAGUUAGUGGAGAACAAAGCACGCUUCGCUUCGGCUUUCCCAGGAGUAAUACAUACCCCCAGGCCGUCUGAUUUGGAACCUGUGUACAAGAACUUUGAAGGCCCUGCUAAUCUCAGAAGCUGCUGUACCUUGUUCCAUCCCUGCAGCAUCUCUCUCUGCCUGCCACUGAGGUUCUCACUCCCAUUUUACAGGGUGAAUGGAUGGCACGUGAGACCUGCCCACACCAUCUCAUUAUGAACAGAAGAGGUGCAUCCUGGCAUCCUCUUGCCACAUCAGCUGCACACCCAGAUCACCCACGCUUGGUACUGUUGAUGCCACCUUGGUUUCAUGAGAAAAGAAUCUGAAAUCAAUGCCAAGAAGAAUAAGUGGAGCCCAAGAGGAAGAAACCAAUGUCUGUAUUAUUUGAGCCCCUGGAUCCAGCUGAGACUGUGCUUAUAAAUAUCCUACUUACGGGAGACAAUGCAUUCUCCUUCCUUCACCGAGAUGAUUUGGGUUGUAUUUUCUGUCACUAUUGCUUGAAAAAAGUUCUGAUACAUGAUAUCAGGUGUCACAUUCACAUAACUCUAAAUAAAGGAAAUGUGCUUUU